rnacentral:rRNA from 1 species
AAUAACAGUGAGAAAUUGCUGCUAAUACCGGAUGAUGUCUUCGGACCAAAGAUUUAUCGCCCAGGGAUGAGCCCGCGUAGGAUUAGCUAGUUGGUGGGGUAAUGGCCUACCAAGGCGACGAUCCUUAGCUGGUCUGAGAGGAUGAUCAGCCACACUGGGACUGAGACACGGCCCAGACUCCUACGGGAGGCAGCAGUGGGGAAUAUUGGACAAUGGGCGCAAGCCUGAUCCAGCAAUGCCGCGUGAGUGAUGAAGGCCUUAGGGUUGUAAAGCUCUUUUACCCGGGAUGAUAAUGACAGUACCGGGAGAAUAAGCUCCGGCUAACUCCGUGCCAGCACC